rnacentral:lncRNA from 1 species
GGCUUUUGAAAUCAGUGGCUAAGUUUGUAGGCGUAACCCUAAUUUCUUAUAGUAACUUGAUAAUUUCUGGAAGAGAAGAUGCGCCGGCGACAAUGUGGGUUCUUCGGAAGUCUGGAGAGCCGUUAGCAGUGCACAUCGGAAGAUUACCUUCUAGGGUUUUCCGUCUAGCCUGUUUUGGGGAAAAAUGGAUUUACCGGCCGGUAGAAAAGAAAGAAGAAAGAAGAGAAGAAAGGGGGGAAAUUGUAAAAGGAAUUGUUGGUGUGUCGGCUCGCCGGUGUAAGCUCAUAACCUCAACUCAGUACAAGUGUUAACUCAGAAUUGUCAACCCCCCUAGUGGACCAGGGGAGGUAUUUAUAAUGUUCCUUGCCUGCUCCUGGGCCUCGUGGGCUCGCCGGCCCACUCGCUCCUUCGGGCCCAUUCGUGCGCCUAGGUCCUGAAGGCUACUUGUUUGGUCCAUGGACCGUUGGGGCGGUCCAUGGUCCCAACAGUACUCCUCCCUCUUCCCGGGGGGGUCGGGGGCCGUUCGUCCGUACCUGGCCUUCAACUUCCCCUCUUUAUUAGUCUUAAAGACUUCUCGAGGUUCGAGCUGCUCCCUUUUUCUUCCCUCUUAUAAAUAGGGUAUUUGCUACUUUGGUUUCUCAUUCCUCUCUUCUUUCAUGAUGAGCAUCUAGGAUGUCCUUGAAGAGUAUGGUCGUGAGGUGCAGCUUCAGCACGUCGCGUGGGCUCUGUGUCUGCUGUCGCCCGCCGGCGUCCCCAACCACGUGGCCGUGGUGGAGACUCAACGUCUCAACGCUGUGCUGAUCGAUGUCCACCGCCGCCUCUCUCAGUAUCGCCGUUCUGAUCUCCUCGCGAGCCGAUAUGCUGUCGACCCCCCUGACGCUGCUCCUGUCGCCGCCUCGGGUUCCCACCAGUCCUCGCACGCCGUCCAUGCUCCCACCUCGAUCGCGGUUCCUGUGGCUACUCCUGCAGAGGCUACUGGCCAUCGCCGUCGGUCGCGCGGCCACCACCGCUCUCGUGGGUCCUCGUCCCUUUCGUCUACUGACCUGCGCCAUUUUUUGUUGGGGUCCCUGAAGCCGGGCCGUUAGGCUCGCCCUAGUGCGAUCCGCGCCCACUCCCGCGCCUCCUCGGGCUCGCCUUUGUGGAUGCGGUGCCCGAGAUGCCCUGACGCUCUCUAUGUUUUUUGUUUGUCGCACUUGUAACUUGUUGUUUUUUUUGUUGCUUUUUCCCCGGCCUUCGCCGUAUUCCUGGCCGUUGUAACCUUUGCUUUGUUAGUAUGAUGUUGUACUUCUCGUU